UACGUAGGUGGCAAGCGUUUGUCCGGAUUUAUUGGGUUUAAAGGGUGCGUAGGCGGUCUUUUAAGUCAGUGCUGAAAUAUCCCGGCUUAACCGGGAGGGUGGCAUUGAUACUGAAGGACUUGAGUACAGUCGAGGUAGGCGGAAUUGACGGUGUAGCGGUGAAAUGCUUAGAUAUCGUCAAGAACACCGAUAGUGUAGACAGCUUACUAGGCUGAAACUGACGCUGAGGCACGAAAGCGUGGGGAGCAAACAGG
rnacentral:rRNA from 1 species